AAGGUGGCCUGUGAGGGUUGCUGGAGGUAUCAGAAGUGCGAAUGCUGACAUAAGUAACGAUAAAGCGGGUGAAAAGCCCGCUCGCCGGAAGACCAAGGGUUCCUGUCCAACGUUAAUCGGGGCAGGGUGAGUCGACCCCUAAGGCGAGGCCGAAAGGCGUAGUCGAUGGGAAACGGGUUAAUAUUCCCGUACUUGGUGUUACUGCGAAGGGGGGACGGAGAAGGCUAUGUUGGCCGGGCGACGGUUGUCCCGGUUUAAGCGUGUAGGCUGGUUUUCCAGGCAAAUCCGGAAAAUCAAGGCUGAGGCGUGACGACGAGGCACUACGGUGCUGAAGCAACAAAUGCCCUGCUUCCAGGAAAAGCCUCUAAGCAUCAGGUAACAUCAAAUCGUACCCCAAACCGACACAGGUGGUCAGGUAGAGAAUACCAAGGCGCUUGAGAGAACUCGGGUGAAGGAACUAGGCAAAAUGGUGCCGUAACUUCGGGAGAAGGCACGCUGACACGUAGGUGAAGUGAUUUACUCAUGGAGCUGAAGUCAGUCGAAGAUACCAGCUGGCUGCAACUGUUUAUUAAAAACACAGCACUGUGCAAACACGAAAGUGGACGUAUACGGUGUGACGCCUGCCCGGUGCCGGAAGGUUAAUUGAUGGGGUCAGCGCAAGCGAAGCUCCUGAUCGAAGCCCCGGUAAACGGCGGCCGUAACUAUAACGGUCCUAAGGUAGCGAAAUUCCUUGUCGGGUAAGUUCCGACCUGCACGAAUGGCGUAAUGAUGGCCAGGCUGUCUCCACCCGAGACUCAGUGAAAUUGAACUCGCUGUGAAGAUGCAGUGUACCCGCGGCAAGACGGAAAGACCCCGUGAACCUUUACUAUAGCUUGACACUGAACAUUGAGCCUUGAUGUGUAGGAUAGGUGGGAGGCUUUGAAGUGUGGACGCCAGUCUGCAUGGAGCCGACCUUGAAAUACCACCCUUUAAUGUUUGAUGUUCUAACGUGGACCCGUAAUCCGGGUUGCGGACAGUGUCUGGUGGGUAGUUUGACUGGGGCGGUCUCCUCCUAAAGAGUAACGGAGGAGCACGAAGGUUGGCUAAUCCUGGUCGGACAUCAGGAGGUUAGUGCAAUGGCAUAAGCCAGCUUGACUGCGAGCGUGACGGCGCGAGCAGGUGCGAAAGCAGGUCAUAGUGAUCCGGUGGUUCUGAAUGGAAGGGCCAUCGCUCAACGGAUAAAAGGUACUCCGGGGAUAACAGGCUGAUACCGCCCAAGAGUUCAUAUCGACGGCGGUGUUUGGCACCUCGAUGUCGGCUCAUCACAUCCUGGGGCUGAAGUAGGUCCCAAGGGUAUGGCUGUUCGCCAUUUAAAGUGGUACGCGAGCUGGGUUUAGAACGUCGUGAGACAGUUCGGUCCCUAUCUGCCGUGGGCGCUGGAGAACUGAGGGGGGCUGCUCCUAGUACGAGAGGACCGGAGUGGACGCAUCACUGGUGUUCGGGUUGUCAUGCCAAUGGCACUGCCCGGUAGCUAAAUGCGGAAGAGAUAAGUGCUGAAAGCAUCUAAGCACGAAACUUGCCCCGAGAUGAGUUCU
rnacentral:rRNA from 2 species